CGGGUGCGGGGCUCAGCGAGGGACUCCCGGUUCCAUAGAGAUCUGGGGAGGGUGGAGGCAGCCUGCCGGGACCCCCCUGGCUCCUCGCUCCCAAGGAGUCGAGGGGAACGUCUCUACCGCGCUGCAAAGCCAGCAGUCCUAGAAAUGCUGCGAAAAGGGCUUCUGGAGUGGGACGGCCCUCGUUUGCAUUAUGUCCCCCGCUUCUUCUUAGGUAAGCGCCCUUAGUUAAAUCAUUUAGCCGUUCUAAGUUGCAGUCUUCCACGUCGGCAUAACGAAGAUAAAACUAUCUGCUUCAUAGGGUCCCUGUGACGACAAAAUGGGUACGGUGAAACGUCCUAAAGUGGUGGUGGGGUGCUAUUAGCUGUUGGAAUUAAUUUUUCAUUCUGAAUUGAGGACCUGUAAAAAGGCCUCGGCUUGGGGACACGGUUUGGGCAUCCCACAGACGCCCCUUGAGGCUUGCUUGACAGCCCGCCUGGACUCGCUC
rnacentral:lncRNA from 1 species